UCUAGAAAACCUUGGGUCAAUCGCACAUGCCCAUGACGGCGACUUGAUAUCAAACCAUGAUAUCAACUUUUGAUGCCAAUUUCUGCUCCUACCAUGGUGACUACAAGUAACGGGGAAUCAGGGUUCCAUUCCGUACAGGGACCCUGAGAAACGGCUACCACAUGCAAGGAAGGCAGCAGGUGUGCAAAUGAACCACUUCCGACGCGGGAAGGUAGUGACGA